rnacentral:rRNA from 1 species
AUUGAACGCUGGCGGCAUGCCUUACACAUGCAAGUCGAACGGUAACAGGUCUUCGGAUGCUGACGAGUGGCGAACGGGUGAGUAAUACAUCGGAACGUGCCUAGUAGUGGGGGAUAACUACUCGAAAGAGUGGCUAAUACCGCAUGAGAUCUACGGAUGAAAGCAGGGGAUCGCAAGACCUUGUGCUACUAGAGCGGCCGAUGGCAGAUUAGGUAGUUGGUGGGAUAAAAGCUUACCAAGCCGACGAUCUGUAGCUGGUCUGAGAGGACGAUCAGCCACACUGGGACUGAGACACGGCCCAGACUCCUACGGGAGGCAGCAGUGGGGAAUUUUGGACAAUGGGCGAAAGCCUGAUCCAGCAAUGCCGCGUGCAGGAUGAAGGCCUUCGGGUUGUAAACUGCUUUUGUACGGAACGAAAAGCCCCGGGUUAAUACCCUGGGGUCAUGACGGUACCGUAAGAAUAAGCACCGGCUAACCACGUGCCAGCCGCCGCCGCAG